rnacentral:rRNA from 1 species
CCUACGAGUGGCUGCAGUGAGGAAUAUUGGUCAAUGUGCGCGAGCCUGAACCAGCCAAGUAGCGUGAAGGAUGACUGCCCUACGGGUUGUAAACUUCUUUUAUAAAGGAAUAAAGUGAGGCACGUGUGCCUUUUUGUAUGUACUUUAUGAAUAAGGAUCGGCUAACUCCGUGCCAGCAGCCGCGGUAAUACGGAGGAUCCGAGCGUUAUCCGGAUUUAUUGGGUUUAAAUGGAGCGUAGAUGGGUUGUUAAGUCAGUUGUGAAAGUUUGCGGCUCAACCGUAAAAUUGCAAUUGAUACUGGCAGUCUUGAGUACAGUUGAGGUAGGCGGAAUUCGUGGUGUAGCGGUGAAAUGCUUAGAUAUCACGAAGAACUCCGAUUGCGAAGGCAGCUUACUAAACUGCCACUGACAUUGAUGCUCGAAAGUGUGGGUAUCAAACAGGAUUAGAUACCCCAGUAGUC